UACGGGAGGCAGCAGUGAGGAAUAUUGGGCAAUGGAGGCAACUCUGACCCAGCCAUGCCGCGUGCAGGAAGAAUGCCCUAUGGGUUGUAAACUGCUUUUAUUUAGGAAUAAACCUCUCUACGUGUAGAGAGCUGAAUGUACUAAACGAA
rnacentral:rRNA from 1 species